AAGGAUCCCAACUUCGGACUCACC
rnacentral:sRNA from 1 species